rnacentral:rRNA from 1 species
UCUAUACUAUUUGGUAUAGGAAAGUAUAUAAAGAGAUUAUUAUGGAUGCCUAGCUAUAUAUUAAAGAGAGACAAUAAACAGUUUAAUUUGUGGUAGGAGAGAGAGAUAAACACAUGAACUCUUAGAUAAAUUCAAUAAUAAACGAAGUGAAUUGAAAUAUCUUAGUAACUUCAGGAAAAGAAAUCAAACGAGAUUCUAUGAUUAGUGUGAAUGAAAAUAGAACAGCCUAAAUAUCAGCUUAUAUACAAUAUUUUGUAAAAAAUCUGAUAAAUUAAGUAAGUAAAACGAGCAAAACUUGUUUGAAUAUAAAGGGGAACCUUCCUCUAAGGCUAAAUAUAAUAUAUAAGCGACAGCGUAUAGUACUGUGAAGGAAAGGUUUGAAAUAGUAGUCUUAUAAGCAGCUCGAGUUAAAUUUUUAAUAAAAAAUAAGAGCGUACCUUUUGCAUAAUGGGUCAGCAAGUUAAUAUUAGAUGCGAGCAGUAAUGCCCAGAUAAACCAAUUAUGAAAUAAUGAAUAAGUAUCUAAAAUUAGACCCGAAGCCUGGUGAUCUUACUACAGUCAGGGUUAUAAAAGCCCGAACGGGUUAUCGUUGUAAAGAUAUCCGAAGAACUGUGGUAAGUUAGUGAAAGACAACACUGACUAGGAUAGCUGGUUUUCUGCGAAACCUAUAUAAGUAGGUAAUUCAAGUAACAUCAUAGCAGGUACAGAACUGUGAUCUCAGGCAACUUAUAUUUAAUUAUUAUAUGUUUACAUAUAAUAACUAAAUAAUUUUGCAUAUAUCGGGCAAUCGUGAAGAUUUUAUCGGUGAGUAUUCGCACUCGGAAGGGCAAUGAUGAAUCUUGAAUAAUCGGACAUAGUACGAUAAGGUUGUAUGUCUAAAGGGAAACAGCCCAGAACAAGAGUUAAGGUUCCAAAAUUAUUGUUAAGUGAAAUUAAGGAUGUUUUUAUCCAAUACGACUAGGAAAUAGGCUUAGAAGCGGUCCAUUUUUUGAAGAUCUCGUAAUAGAGCACUAGUUUAGUAAAUGAUGCUUGCGCAGACAUUUAUAUUGAUAGUUGCACCGAAGAUUUAACGGAUCUAAACAAUAUACCGACACCUUGUCCAUAUUUAUUAAUAAUUAAAAUUAUUAUAUCUAAUGGGGUAGCAGAACGUUGGGUAAAUCUUAGAUUUAUUCUUUUUAAGUAUAAUUAUUAGAUAACCCAAGUGAGAAUGCUGACAUGAGUAACGAAAAAGGGAUAAACCCUCGCCUAAAGCUUAUGGUUUUUUUAAAGCAACGGCCUCUAAGUUUACCAACCUAAAGGAUUAAACGAUGAGCAAGAUCUUUGUUACAAAGUAACAACCUUUUUUUUAUGAUAAAAAAAUUAAAGUGAAAAAGGUUCUGGAAAAACAGUAACAGAUUAUAUCAUUUCAACAAACUAAAGAGAUGAGCAAUGAUAUGAGACAAAAAACCGUACCUAGAAACUACCACAAGUAAGCUAGUAGAGAAUACGAAGGCGUUUGAGUGAACAAUCAUUAAGGAACUCGGCAAACUAACUACCGUAACUUCGGAAUAAGGAGAGCCAUUCCUCCUGAUUAAUAUCAGGUAAUGAAUAGGAAGCAUGGAAUAGUGUUGUACGACUGUUUAAUUAAAACAAAGCACUCUGCAGUAAGAUAAUAAAUCAAAGUAUUGAGUGUGAAUUCUGCCCGAUGUCGGCUGGUUAACGGAUUUGCUAAGUUGACUAAUAUAAAUUUGGCUUUGAAGGAAACCCCGAUCAAUGGCGGCCUUACCGAUGAGGGUCCUAAGGUAGCGGAAUACCCUGGCCGUUAAAUGCGGUCUUGCAUGAAUGAUUUAACGAUACAACAGCUGUCUCGAUGAUUGGCUCAGUGAAAUUGGAAUAACUGUGCAGAUACAGUUUACCUCUAGUUAGACGAGAAGACCCUAUGCAGCUUUACUGUUGCUAGUUAUUGAAUGUGAUAUUGCGAAUUUUAGUGUAUAAGGUAGUGUUAGCACAAUUGAAACACCUUUGUUUAGUAUAUCAUGUUGGUAGACUUUGUCUACGUGAAAGUUUCAAAGUAUUGAAAAAUCUUUGUUAUAAUCAUUAACCUUCUUAUGAAGGAACAAUUGCUAGGAGGCAGUUUAUGCGGGGCACAGAUCCCAUAAAAAGUACCUGGGUGUAUCCAAAGUUAAUUUAGUAAAGUUGUUAUAAUUUAGUUAUGACAAUUAAAUAUACAAGUUUUGUAUAUUUUUUUUUUAGUUUGUUAUUUCAUGUAGCUUUAGCUAUAACUAAUCCAACUAUAUAUCUAUUGAGUUAGAACUAAUAAUUUUUAUUUAAGUAAGAUUUUAUCUAUAUGGCAAAUAGAUGUAAUUAAAACAUUAAGAUAAUACAAUAAUCAUGAAGAUAAUUAUUAUUAAAUUAUUUCUAAUGUUUUUAAUUAUAUUAUUAGUACGCUUAAUUUAUUAUAAUUUAAGUUUAAGAAAAUUCACUAAUAAUAUAAUUAUGAUUAUUACUUGUCAAGUUUAAUGGCUUAAUCUUGCUUUACUGUUUGACUUACACGUCUAUCAGUCGCGUAAGCGGGGCAUAUGAUCACAAGAUGCAGUAAGGAAAGGUCUUGGAUUUUUGAAAAAGCUACGCUAGGGAUAACAUUUGUCCCAAGUACUAUUAUGUACAAAAACAAGUAUAUAAUUAUAUUUGAUAAUUGGGUUAAUUUCAAGAAAAACUUUAUAAGUUAAUUUGAAGCGACAUUUACUUUUAAAGUAAAUACGUUCAACGACUAAUAAUCCAACAUUUUAUUUU